rnacentral:rRNA from 1 species
AGCGAACGCUGGCGGUAGGCCUAACACAUGCAAGUCGAACGGCAGCACAGUAAGAGCUUGCUCUUACGGGUGGCGAGUGGCGGACGGGUGAGGAAUACAUCGGAAUCUACUUUUUCGUGGGGGAUAACGUAGGGAAACUUACGCUAAUACCGCAUACGACCUACGGGUGAAAGCAGUGGAUCUUCGGACCUUGCGCGAUUGAAUGAGCCGAUGUCGGAUUAGCUAGUUGGCGGGGUAAAGGCCCACCAAGGCGACGAUCCGUAGCUGGUCUGAGAGGAUGAUCAGCCACACUGGAACUGAGACACGGUCCAGACUCCUACGGGAGGCAGCAGUGGGGAAUAUUGGACAAAGGGCGCAAGCCUGAUCCAGCCAUGCCGCGUGGGUGAAGAAGGCCUUCGGGUUGUAAAGCCCUUUUGUUGGGAAAGAAAAGCAGCAGGUUAAUACCCCGCUGUUCUGACGGUACCCAAAGAAUAAGCACCGGCUAACCUCGUG